GUGAGAGGGGGCUUGCUCCCGAUGGCUGAGUGUCAGUCAACUUAUUGGUAGCUGACACACUGCUAUCGGGAGCAAGCCCCCUCCCAC
rnacentral:misc_RNA from 1 species